CCGGGCGGCCAGACGAUCGCGUGGCGCAAGUCAUGAGGAAAGUCCGAGCAUCACAGGGCAGGGUGCCGGUUAACGGCCGGUGGAGGCAACUCCAAGGAAAGUGCAACAGAAAUAGACCGCCCGGGUUUCCCGGGUAAGGAUGGAAAGGCGAGGUAAGAGCUCACCCGCGUACCGGUGACGGAUACGCGCUGUAAACCCCACCCGAUGCAAGUUCCGAUCAAGGGCAAUACGGCGGCCCGUCGUGCUCUUAAAGAGAACGCUGGAGCCGU
rnacentral:RNase_P_RNA from 1 species